rnacentral:rRNA from 1 species
AUUGGCGACCUCAAUGAAAUCCAAUUUCUUCAUGAGAAGGAGGGAGGCAAUCCACGUCCGGCACAAUAUAUGCAGGCUUUUCAAGAAGCAAUUGAUGAUUGUGGUUUGCAUGAUAUGGGCUUCAUCGGGGACCCGUUCACAUGGAGACGUGGAAGAAUAAGAGAAAGGCUAGACAGAGGCCUGGUGAAUGAUGCAUGGGCGAACUUAUUUACUGAUGCAGCGUUGCAGAAUUUGGAAUUUAACCACUCUGACCACAGACCCCUUCUUGUGGAUACAAAGUUCUAUACACAUUCAACCGCCGGACAAAACAACAUGCAAGUAAAACGAUUUGAGGCACGAUGGUUGAGGGAGAGGAGUUUUGAGGAGACGGUGACGGCGGCGUGGAAUGAUGUUACAGCCGAUCCAACUGUGACCAAUAUUUAUGAAAAGCUGAAUAAAAUGCAUAACCAGUUCCACGACUGGGAUCAGAGAGUUCUCAAAAAGCCAAAAAAGCGUCUUCGUAAAGCACAGCGAGAUCUUUAA